UUUUCCUUCUCGCCAGUCGUGCGGCCGCUUCUCCUCCUCCUCCGGCGGCAGCGCGGCGCUGUUGUGGGUGCGCCCGACGCCGCCCGGGCUGAUGGCGCAGCUGGAGCCACCGAGCCCGCCGGGCAGGCAACGCUGCGCCGCCUUCCCCACUGAAUAAACUAUUUAAGGAAGAUACCUUCGCUCCCCAAGAGGUCUUUCUGCUUCCAAGGUGGCUCUUUACAGCAGUCCCUUCAUGUCUUGUUUUCUGGCUUUGUGACAAAAGACUCCAGGCCUUCGCCAUGGCUGUUGUUUUGCUGGGAACAGUCCUGCUUAUUGUCCAGCCUCAGGUGGUGCCUUCAAGACCAACUGUGAGCUCUAAGGGUGAAGCUACAGUGCAACUGGCUCAGAAAGAGCCCUUUAAGAAAAACAAUUUCAAAGAAACUAUCCCCCCAAAUGGGACAUUCCAGCAACUUCCUCAGACUGUCAUCAUUGGAGUUCGGAAAGGUGGAACCAGAGCCCUGCUAGAGAUGCUGAGCCUCCAUCCAGAUAUAGCAGCAGUGGAAAGUGAAGUCCACUUUUUUGACUGGGAAGAGCAUUUCAGAAAUGGAUUGCAGUGGUAUGCCAACCAAAUGCCAUUCUCUUAUCCACAGCAGAUAACAGUAGAGAAAACCCCAGCAUAUUUCACCUCCCCUAAAGUGCCUGAAAGAGUUUAUAGCAUGAACAAACUCAUUAGAUUGCUGCUUAUUUUGCGGGACCCCACGGAGAGAGUGUUGUCAGACUAUACACAAGUGUUCUUCAACCAUAUGCAAAAAUGUAAGCCGUAUCCCUCCAUUGAAGAGUUCCUAGUUAAAAAUGGAGAACUCAAUGUUAACUACAAGGCAAUAAACCGGAGCUUGUAUUACAUUCACAUGCAAAACUGGCUGAAGUAUUUUCCUCUGGAUCACAUUCACAUUGUAGAUGGUGACAAGCUGAUCAAAGAUCCAUUCCCAGAAAUCGUAAAGGUAGAAAGGUUUUUGAAGUUGAUGCCUCAGAUAAAUGCUUCAAACUUUUACUUCAAUAAAACAAAAGGUUUUUACUGCCUAAGAGACAGUGGGAGGGACCGAUGUUUACAUGAGUCGAAAGGAAGAGCACACCCAAAAGUAAAUCCAGUUUUACUUAAAAAACUGCAGGGAUAUUUUCAUGAACCUAAUCGGAAGUUUUUUGAGCUUGUGGGCAGAAUGUUUGACUGGCACUAGAUAUGGUGGUUGGGUAGAGAAGGUUCUGUGGAGCCCAGGAUGCUACAGUGUGCAUUUAGAAGAGGAGGGCAUGUAAGCUAUAAUUUAUUUGUAAAAUCCAUACAUUACUUCUGUAAAGUAUUGGAUUAAUAAUUUCCAUACAAACUAGUAAUAUUUUUCUACUUGUUAAAAUGUUUGUAAUGUUUUUCAUGGCUGUUAACACCAUAUGUUAUGUCUAUAUGACGAAACAAGCUAUUUCAUGGAACAAAGUCUCUAGAGAUUGUGGCUUUUAAGUGUAUGUGUAUAUACAAAAUACAUAUACGAUAUUACAUGAUCUUAAAAA